UUUAUGGACUCUGCCUGGAGGAGGCCAAAGGAGUGGAGAGCCUGAGCUCCAUGACAGCUGAGCUGAGUUACAGAUGAGGAAACCGAGGUCCAGGAUGCUGAAGUGGCUCACCGGAAGUCUCACAGCUCUCGGGUGUCAGAGACUGCCUGCUUUCCCCAGCCCUAUGUUCCCUGGGAGUCACCUCUCCAGGGCGGACGGCCCAGAAGAGCUAUGGGGAUGCGCCUGGAGUCUUGUCCUCUGAGAGCUGCCUGGAGGAGGAGGAAUCCAGGCCUCUGUACCAGCAACUGCAGGCUACCAGUUCAAGCAGCAGCGAGCCCCUCAGCAACCUCGACCUCUCCCACGAGUCCCUGGUGGACUUGAAGUACCUGCCCUUCUUCCGCACCUAUGGGCAUCUCCUGUCUGAAGAAGAGUUGGCCCUGCAGCCGGAGAUUUGCAGGGACCAAAGAGGAGACUGGGGUGUCAGGGGGGCGCCGUUCCAGGAGGACUUAGAACCCCCCAGCGGGUUCUUCCCUUACUACCACUCUGAGGAGGAGAGUUUUCCCAGCCUUUUGUGUGGGGGCUCCCAAGACCCACCCGCCAAGAUGGAGGUACA